rnacentral:rRNA from 1 species
AUUGAACGCUGGCGGCAGGCCUAACACAUGCAAGUCGAGCGGAUGAUGGGAGCUUGCUCCUGGAUUCAUCGGCGACCGGUUGAGUAAUGCCUAGGAAUCUGCCUGGUAGUGGGGGAUAACGUCCGGAAACGGGCGCUAAUACCGCGUACGUCCUGUGGGCGCCAGUGGGUGGUCUAAAGAUUUAACGCUUUCGUGUGAGCCUAGGUUGGAUUAGCUAGUUGGUGGGGUAAAGGCCUGCCAAGGAGACGAUCCGUAGCUGGUCUGAGAGGAUGAUCAGCCACACUGGGAGUGAGACACGGCGCAGACUACUACGGGAAGCAGCAGUGGGGAAUAUUGGACAAUGGGCGAAAGCCUGAUCCAGCAAUGACGCGUGAGUGAUGAAGGCUUUAGGGUUGUAAAGCUCUUUUACCCGGGAUGAUAAUGACAGUACCGGGAGAAUAAGCUCCGGCUAACUCCGUG